GCAGCAGCCGCGGGAAUACGAAGGGUGCAAGCGUUAAUCGGAAUUACUGGGCGUAAAGCGUGCGUAGGCGGUUUGUUAAGUCUGUUGUGAAAUCCCCGGGCUCAACCUGGGAAUGGCAAUGGAUACUGGCAAGCUAGAGUGUGUCAGAGGAUGGUGGAAUUCCCGGUGUAGCGGUGAAAUGCGUAGAGAUCGGGAGGAACAUCAGUGGCGAAGGCGGCCAUCUGGGACAACACUGACGCUGAGGCACGAAAGCGUGGGGAGCAAACAGGAUUAGAUACCCCGGUAGUCCCUGUCUCUUAUAC
rnacentral:rRNA from 1 species